AGAGUUUGAUCCUGGCUCAGGAUGAACGCUGGCGGCGUGCCUAAUACAUGCAAGUCGAGCGAGAUGUUAGUGCAUGAACCUUCGGGGGAUUAUGCUAACGGACAGCGGCGGACGGGUGAGUAACGCGUAGGCAACCUGCCCCUGACAGAGGGAUAGCCAUUGGAAACGAUGAUUAAAACCUCAUAACACCGUAGAAGCACAUGCUUCAUCGGUCAAAGAUUUAUCGGUCAGGGAUGGGCCUGCGUCUGAUUAACUAGUUGGUGAGGUAACGGCUCACCAAGGUGACGAUCAGUAGCCGACCUGAGAGGGUGAUCGGCCACAUUGGAACUGAGACACGGUCCAAACUCCUACGGGAGGCAGCAGUGGGGAAUAUUGCACAAUGGGCGCAAGCCUGAUGCAGCAACGCCGCGUGAAGGAUGAAGGCCUUCGGGUUGUAAACUUCUGUUCUAAGGGAAGAAACAAAUGACGGUACCUUAGGAGCAAGCCCCGGCUAACUACGUGCCAGCAGCCGCGGUAAUACGUAGGGGGCAAGCGUUAUCCGGAAUUAUUGGGCGUAAAGAGUGCGUAGGUGGUUACCUAAGCGCAAGGUUUAAUUUAGAGGCUCAACCUCUACUUGCCUUGCGAACUGGGCUACUUGAGUGCAGGAGGGGAAAGCGGAAUUCCUAGUGUAGCGGUGAAAUGCGUAGAUAUUAGGAGGAACACCAGCGGCGAAGGCGGCUUUCUGGACUGUAACUGACACUGAGGCACGAAAGCGUGGGUAGCAAACAGGAUUAGAUACCCUGGUAGUCCACGCCGUAAACGAUGAGUGCUAAGUGUUGGUCUCAUAAGAGAUCAGUGCUGCAGCUAACGCAUUAAGCACUCCGCCUGGGGAGUACGACCGCAAGGUUGAAACUCAAAGGAAUUGACGGGGGCCCGCACAAGCGGUGGA
rnacentral:rRNA from 1 species